GGAGAGGUGGCAGAGUGGCUGAAUGCAGCAUCCUGCUAAGAUGCUAAGGGAGCAAUCCCUUCGCGAGUUCGAAUCUCGCCCUCUCCG
rnacentral:tRNA from 1 species